rnacentral:rRNA from 1 species
GACGAAGUGGUUGAUGCCAUGCUUCCAAGAAAAGCUUCUAAGCUUCAGGUAACCAGGAACCGUACCCCAAACCGACACAGGUGGUUGGGUAGAGAAUAACAAAGGCGCUUGAGAGAACUCGGGUGAAGGAACUAGGCAAAAUGGCACCGUAACUUCGGGAGAAGGUGCGCCGGUGAGGGUGAAGGACUUGCUCCGUAAGCUCAUGCCGGUCGAAGAUACCAGGCCGCUGCGACUGUUUAUUAAAAACACAGCACUCUGCAAACACGAAAGUGGACGUAUAGGGUGUGACGCCUGCCCGGUGCCGGAAGGUUAAUUGAUGGGGUUAGCUAACGCGAAGCUCUUGAUCGAAGCCCCGGUAAACGGCGGCCGUAACUAUAACGGUCCUAAGGUAGCGAAAUUCCUUGUCGGGUAAGUUCCGACCUGCACGAAUGGCGUAACGAUGGCGGCGCUGUCUCCACCCGAGACUCAGUGAAAUUGAAAUCGCUGUGAAGAUGCAGUGUAUCCGCGGCUAGACGGAAAGACCCCGUGAACCUUUACUAUAGCUUUGCACUGGACUUUGAAUUUGCUUGUGUAGGAUAGGUGGGAGGCUUUGAAGCGUGGACGCCAGUCUGCGUGGAGCCAACCUUGAAAUACCACCCUGGCAACUUUGAGGUUCUAACUCAGGUCCGUUAUCCGGAUCGAGGACAGUGUAUGGUGGGUAGUUUGACUGGGGCGGUCUCCUCCUAAAGAGUAACGGAGGAGUACGAAGGUGCGCUCAGACCGGUCGGAAAUCGGUCGUAGAGUAUAAAGGCAAAAGCGCGCUUGACUGCGAGACAGACACGUCGAGCAGGUACGAAAGUAGGUCUUAGUGAUCCGGUGGUUCUGUAUGGAAGGGCCAUCGCUCAACGGAUAAAAGGUACUCCGGGGAUAACAGGCUGAUACCGCCCAAAGAGUUCAUAUCGACGGCGGUGUUUGGCACCUCGAUGUCGGCUCAUCACAUCCUGGGGCUGAAGCCGGUCCCAAGGGUAUGGCUGUUCGCCAUUUAAAGUGGUACGCGAGCUGGGUUUAGAACGUCGUGAGACAGUUCGGUCCCUAUCUGCCGUGGACGUUUGAGAUUUGAGAGGGGCUGCUCCUCGUACGAGAGGACCGGAGUGGACGAACCUCUGGUGUUCCGGUUGUCACGCCAGUGGCAUUGCCGGGUAGCUAUGUUCGGAAUAGAUAACCGCUGAAAGCAUCUAAGCGGGAAACUAGCCUCAAGAUGAGAUCUCACUGGAACCUUGAGUUCCCUGAAGGGCCGUCGAAGACUACGACGUUGAUAGGUUGGGUGUGUAAGCGCUGUGAGGCGUUGAGCUAACCAAUACUAAUUGCCCGUGAGGCUUGACCAU